UUUGAGUAAAAUCGGUCAAAUUUUGCCUGUAUUCGACGAAAACACGUUGCUAGGGUGGAGUUCAACAAGCAUUCCCUAUGAAAUUGACUGAAAACUUUUAUUUCAAUUUGCAAAAGGCCCGAAUUUUUCCCAGCAAAGCAAGAAUCAUUAGAGAAGACUUCAAACCUUACUGAACAACUGACAGAGGUUUGAGAGCUUUCCCGACUCGUGGCAAUGUGGUGGUUAACAAGGAUUUGACGUAAUCUCGUGUCCUUUUUCUUCACAUGGUCAAAAUGCUGGGACUGGGUGUUGAAGGAGUGUAUUCCUUCAAUCCUUUGUUCACCAUGGAAUCCAUUGUUGAAGAAAAGGGCAAACAUGUUCUUCUAGCGUAUGGAGCCUUGGUGUGAUCAUCAUGUCUGGGAAUUUUUCCCUAAUGAACUGAAGAAAAUUUGCGAUGUCUUCCUCUGCAACAAGAAAAGGUGGAACAGACUUAAGACAUGAUCUUAUUAUUGAAUUCAUGUUUUUCAUAAAAGUGAGGUUCUUUCUUUCACUUACCUAACUUAUCAAUCUUGCCAUUAUUGAGAUAGUCUGCACUUUCAUAGACUAAGUGGCAAGCAGUAAAUAACUUGAAAACUUGUUUAAAUUUAACACUAAUUUCUCUUGCUUGAGAAAGGAAGGAAGGACACAGCUCCACUGUUUUUGUCACCACAGUACUGCAUAGUUAAAUGAUAUUGUCUUCCUACCAAAAAAGAAACCCGCAACAAUUUAAUAGAAUUUUGUGACUCAACAAUUUCCUUCUCUAAGGGUAGGAUUUGUGUUACCUUGCAGCAAGUGUGUACAUGGUUACCAAUUAAUGAUUUUCCAUGGUAAGCUUGUCUCUUGACAUUCAUUUUCUUGAGAACCUCAUCCAAAUGAACUGAUAAUGGUCCAUUGACUUUCUCAAAGGCAGCCAAUUCCAUUUGUUCACCCAAAAGCUUUUCCUAUAAUGUUGAGAUAAUACUUUUUAAAUCUUGCUGUUGAUAGGUUGUCAAAUUCAUUUGAGCCAGUGUAAAUAUAUAAAUAAAUAUAUAAAUAAAUGAUCUGUAAAACAAAAUCAUACCUUCUUCAACUGAAAAAUUAAGAUGGGUUUGAAACAUGUGCAAUGGAAUUGGAGGGUCAUACAGCUGAUAUACUGGAAAACACAAAUAUAUUAUUGCUACCUCCUCCUUUGCAUUUCCAAGGAGUUUGUGUAUCUCCUCCUGUAGUAGUGUAAAGUAGGCAGGCAUGAUAUGAACAUUAGCAUGCAGACUUUGUAAAUUCAGCAACUCCUCUAAAGAAUUGGCUUUUUCAUGAAAUUUUUGUGCCUGUCUAGUAUGUAGUUGGGCAGCUCUGAAUGCCUGGAUCUUUUCAUCAUUCUCUUCACUGUCUCCUGCCAGCAUCAUUUGAAUGUUUUUUGUCCAGUGCAAAGCACUGGUUCUCUAGUUCAUCAAACAGUUUCUUAAACACACCCAAGCUAAUGUGAAGUCCUGGAACACAAACCUGAAAUAGAGAACCAUUUAGUUAGGUGUCCUGUAUGUCCCUCUUCAAAGCAAUAAAAUUAACUCUUCUAAGGGCUGAAAAUGGAUUAUCUUAUCUUUUGUUUUGAAAUGAAUGUCUUUAUUUUCAACUUAAAAAAAUAUUUUAUUACCUGGCCACCUGUUUUGAGGAGAAUAGUUGCCCCAUCCUGAGACUGUGAAAGAAACUGUCAAAUGAUGAACAAUCCAACUUCCUCCUUUAGGGAUGAAUAAAAUUCCUUUGGGCUGGUUAGUAUUUGAUAAACUGACAGUUUUUCCCCACAAGUUGUUGUUGUGCUAGUGGUGGUUGUAAGUUCUGGUUGUAUUAUUUAGUACAUUUACCUGUGCUAGUCCCUUUUCCUCUGCUGCAGGUAUGGGUUUCACUGGGACAAGGGGGGUUGGUUUUACUGAAACUGAUCUUUGGGAAGGGGUUAAGAUGUGUGUGGGUGCUGUUGUAGGGCUUUGAAUGCAAUAUUCUUGAUGUUGAGGUAGUUGGUGAAGUUUUACUGUAUGUUUACAAGUAGGACAUUGAAAAUCUAACUCUGAAAGUAUAGUGCGAAGAACAAAAGGGGCUUGCUCAACGAACUUGUUAGGAUUUACAGUGACAGUUCAGCACACUGGGCAAAGGGAUCCACACAUUUCAAAAGAAAAUGACCAACAACUAGCACAAAAUAUGUGUGGAGUUCAGCAUUUUGUCUGGACUGGUUGAUCAAGUACCUCUUUUCAAAUUGGGCACAUAUACUUGUGCUUGUUUUCAACAAACUGUUCUGGAUAAAGAGGUUCUGAUCCUCUAAAGCUUUGUAGAUUCUUUACCUCCUAAAAGAAUGAGAGUGUGGCUGGAUCAGGUUGGAAGCUUAAAGUGCCAGUAUGUAAUGCCUCAUUAAUUGAAUAAUACUCCAAAGAAUCAUGGUGAAUCGAUUCAAAUAUCCCGGAUGGUUGUCUUAAUUUCAGAGAGACGCGACUCAUUAAUGAAGAACUAUUUGAAUUUUUUAUUUAAAAUUAAUAAAUUGGAAGUUUUAAAGAAGUUAGCCGUUAAGUGCUCGAGUUUUUCCCCGUUCAAAUCACUGCUCAAUUCCUGGCAAAAAACGAACCCACAGCUGAGUAUUUAUUAGGAAAAAAAAUUAAAAAUAAAUAAUAAAAAAGGUUAAUUUUACUUUUAAUUUCGAAUUGCCAAGGACAACUUUCGAUCAGACAAAGGGGCUUGCCUCACUUUUCAAUCCAGUGGCUGCAUGCAGCGAAACUGAAAUAUCAAAUCAAAGAGUAAUUUUACGUUCAAGACCGUAAAACACGCCAAGCAGACGAUUAAUCUAUCAGGGUUCAAGUGGUAAUUUGUAUGAAUAAUUGUAGCGAGUGUGUUUCCAAAGGUUUCCCGCAAACACGAGUAUACUAGUGAACAAAAGCAUGUUUCGCUAAAUGGAGCCUAUUUUCUUUAAUAUCCUUCAAAUACUUUUGAAACUUACGGGGAGAAACAAAUGCCUACUGCGAAUCGCACUUAAAGUGAUGAUGAAAAAGAUUUUCAGUAAGUUUCUUUUGACUUCACGAGGGACGCGCAGGAGUUUGCUAAUAAUACCCUCAAUUACCAACUAGAUACGAUAGAUUUAAAUAUCUUAAAAUUCACUUUAACUCAAUUGCAAAUAGUUCGUAAGUAUGACGACACUGAUGAAUUGAAGCUAAGAGCACUUACGAAUUUAAUUAAUUUCAUGUUUAUUAUAGGUAAGGCAACUAAAUUAUAUAAAUACUACAAUA
rnacentral:lncRNA from 1 species